GCCCCGGCUAACUCUGUGCCAGCAGCCGCGGUAAUACAGAGGGGGCGAGCGUUGUUCGGAAUUACUGGGCGUAAAGGGCGCGUAGGCGGCCUGCUAAGUCGGACGUGAAAUCCCUCGGCUCAACCGGGGAACGGCGUCCGAUACUGGUUGGCUUGAAUCCGGGAGAGGGAUGCGGAAUUCCAGGUGUAGCGGUGAAAUGCGUAGAUAUCUGGAGGAACACCGGUGGCGAAGGCGGCAUCCUGGACCGGUAUUGACGCUGAUGCGCGAAAGCCAGGGGAGCAAACGGGAUUAGAUACCCCGGUAGUCCUGGCCCUAAACGAUGAGUGCUUGGUGUGGCGGGUAUCGAUCCCUGCCGUGCCGAAGCUAACGCAUUAAGCACUCCGCCUGGGGAGUACGGUCGCA
rnacentral:rRNA from 1 species